AAGUCGUAACAAGGUUUCCGUAGGUGAACCUGCGGAAGGAUCAUUAACACGUAUCCAACGUUAAACCCCCCCGUGAAUAUUAAUCGUGCUCUUGCAUCCUCCCAAUCAGCAAUCUCUGGUAAAUCACGUCGAACGGUUUGAUUCAGAGACCUCUGCGUUGUGGAUGACUGCUGACGCUAAAGGUGCAAUCGAGCGCUAGGAUCAGUGGUUUGGUUUCCCCUCAAACCACUUCAAUGAAUUUAACGCACGCUGUAGGCUCACACGAGUCGGCGUCCAAAUCACCGGCGCAAGCCCCCCUAAAACCACAUGUCAGCGUAGGCCCUUCUGUCGUGGUUGGGCGUAAAAACGAACAACUGUUAACAAUGGAUAUCUUGGUUCUC
rnacentral:misc_RNA from 1 species